UACGGAGGAUCCGAGCGUUAUCCGGAUUUAUUGGGUUUAAAGGGAGCGUAGGUGGAUUGUUAAGUCAGUUGUGAAAGUUUGCGGCUCAACCGUAAAAUUGCAGUUGAAACUGGCAGUCUUGAGUACAGUAGAGGUGGGCGGAAUUCGUGGUGUAGCGGUGAAAUGCUUAGAUAUCACGAAGAACUCCGAUUGCGAAGGCAGCUCACUAGACUGCAACUGACACUGAUGCUCGAAAGCGUGGGUAGCAAACAGG
rnacentral:rRNA from 1 species